ensembl:lncRNA
CAUGACCAAGCGUACGCGCGUGCGCGUGUGUGUGCGUGUGUGUAUGAGUGUGUAUGUGAGUGUGUGAGUGAGGGGGGAGAGAGACAGACGACGGGAGAGUUCUGUUCUUUCACUGCUCCAUCCGGGAACUUUAGAAUUAGCAUUGACAGCCGAAGCGCAACUUUUCUCCAGGCAAAGUGAAAUCAAGCCGCGGACUCGGACAAAAUCUAGUCCCCCUUUUUCAACUCGAAAUUAUCGAAAGAAGCGGCACGCCACGAUUUGGUCGGAUGUAUCGAUAUUCGGACGUAUUUGGGAUGUAACUGACCGAGGUCCUGGCUCUUUCCGCUGUGUUUGGACCACUUUUUUCGACGGGCGUAAAGUGGGUGAUGAGUCCUACCCUGUAAAGAAGCGAGAACUUGCUUUUGCAGCCCCGAGUAGUUCUUCUUUCAAUUGUUAUUGCCGCUUUAAAAAAAUCUUUAAUUCACUUAAACUUCGUACGCAUCGCGUCGAAAGUGGGAGAAAAGUGCUUUUGAAGUCGGACCAUGGAACUACAAGGCCUACAAGAGGCGCUGAAAGUAGAGAUCCAAUGCCAUCAGAAGCUGGCAGUGCGGUCCUGUCCGGUAGGGACGACCAAGCCCCUCUCGCUCGUCAAACCGGCCAACCAACAGCAGCAGCAGCAGCAGCAGCAGCAGCAGCAGCAGCAGCAGCAGCAGCAGAGCAUAGCCAUCUCAGUGCUGCCUGCCAAGGCCCCCGUCUCCAUGGUUACCGCACACAUUAACGGACAAAAGGCGGCGGCGGCGGCGGUAGCGAACUCGGAGC